UCUUGGGUGUGAAAGAGAGGCCUCGCCAUAAGUAGGCAAGUGUGCCUACCGCAUCACAGCUGAGAUGGAGUCUACGGAGGAGUCAAGUGCCAUUUAAGGUUUAGAUCUCGAUAAUUGUUUCAAGAUGCGGAACUCGGCGAAUGAGGGUCAUCGACUUCGCAGGUGAAAGCUGGAUGCUUGAAGUAAAGACUGCUGCUAGCUGAACACUGGGAGCACAAAGGUGACAUAAGGAUGUCCUUGAUGAGGAAUUCAAAAACAUCAUAAGAAAUCUUGACAAGAGUUGCUUGGAUCAUUUAAAACUCCCAGGAGCCUGAGGGGCACUAAAAUUGGUGCUUUUGGACAGUAUAAAUAAAUAUACCUAAAACAGUAGGGCUACAAA